rnacentral:tRNA from 1 species
AGAUCUAAAAAAAGCUUCUAACUUUUUAACAAGCAAACGCUUAAUCUUUUAACAUU